rnacentral:sRNA from 1 species
ACCCCCGUGUUAUGGGUGUUCUGGGUUGAAUCGAGCUUAGCCUUGUUCAUUUUUUUCUACAACUGUGCCGUAAAAAAUACAGCACAGGGCUAACAAAGCGCUCACAGGCCUCGGUUUCUGAAGCCUUCCACGGUUGAAUACCUGCCCUUUAUUGCGGCAAAAAUGGCCAUUUUGCGCCUUUUGAGGGCAA